AUUGAACGCUGGCGGCAUGCCUUACACAUGCAAGUCGAACGGUAACAGGUUAAGCUGACGAGUGGCGAACGGGUGAGUAAUACAUCGGAACGUGCCCAGUAGUGGGGGAUAGCCCGGCGAAAGCCGGAUUAAUACCGCAUACGACCUAAGGGUGAAAGGUGGGGAUCGCAAGACCUCUCGCUAUUGGAGCGGCCCGAGUCAGAUUAGCUAGUUGGUGGGGUAAAAGCUUACCAAGGGGACGAUCUGUAGCCGGUCUGAGAGGGCGACCAGCCACACUGGGACCUGGAACCGGGCCCAACCCCCUAGGGAGGCCGCCGGUGGGAAAUUUUGGCAAAGGGGGGAAACCCGAAGCCGGCAAGCCGGGGGGCGGAAGGAGGGCUUUGGGGUUUAAAACCGUUUUUGUAAGGAAAAAAAUCCUUUGGGUUAAUACCUCGGGGGAUGACGGUACCUGAAGAAUAAGCACCGGCUAACUACGUG
rnacentral:rRNA from 1 species